rnacentral:rRNA from 1 species
UACGGGGGGGACAAGCGUUGUUCGGAUUUACUGGGCGUAAAGGGCGUGUAGGCGGACUUUCAAGUCGGAAGUGAAAACCGGCAGCUUAACUGCAGGCUUGCUUUUGAUACUGUGAGUCUUGAGUACAGGAGAGGAAAGCGGAAUUCCAGGUGUAGCGGUGAAAUGCGUAGAUAUCUGGAAGAACACCAGUAGCGAAGGCGGCUUUCUGGUCUGAUACUGACGCUAAAACGCGAAGGCUAGGGGAGCAAACAGG